CAUACGUCCACUCUUCGCCGCGAAGUAGAUCCCUUCGCCUGAACAUUUCGUCACGUAUCCUGCUGCAUCCCCAACUAAUGCGACUCUGUCUUGUAAUCUUCUUGGCCUUGGGUGUUCUGGAAUUGGAUGAGCCUCAACUCGGAUGAUUUUUCCGCCGGUGAUUUUGGAAUCGGCUCUCAGUCUUGUGGCUAGCUGGAAUUUCUUAAUGUCUGCUUUGUGGGUAACGGUGCCUGUGCCGACGGCAACGUGGUCACAUUUAGGGAAAACCCAACCGUAAAAAUCAGGGGAUACGUCAUCGCCGACAUACAUUUCAGCUAAAUUCUCGUAGUACUUCAUUUUAUCAUCGGAAAUUCUAAUUCGUUCCUGGAAGGCAAUGGCGUACUCGUAGUCCCCAGCGUUGAUGGAUUUUGCGACACGGGAAUUUGCGCCGUCUGCGCCGAUAACGGCGUCAACUUCCAGGGUGCACUUCUCACCGGCGCCGUUAGUUUUGGAAUCGUAAGAUGUGUAGUGUAGGACGUAUGGUGAAUUUGGGGCUUUUGGCAUGUCCAUUCUGAGAAACAAGCCGUUGAGAACAGAAGCUCCGGCUUCAGCAGCACGGUCCCGGAGGUAGGCAUCGAGUACUUCGCGGCGCACCAUACCGAUAUACUCGUGAGGCUUCAGAGUCUGUCCGAUAUCGACGGCGACGUUGGAUGGGGAAAUCAUCUUCAUCUUGGUAACUUUCCGAUCGAUGAUAUCGAGAGGUAGAUCGAAUUCGCCCACCAUGCAGAGUGGGAUGGCACCACCGCAGGGUUUGCAGUUGUCCAUCUUGCGUUCUAUCAAAAAGGUCUCAAUUCCACCCUUAGCGAGCGUCUCUGCAGCGGCGCCACCAGCAGGACCACCACCAAUCACCGCAACGCGAAGGUUUCUGCCGGUGACUCUUGGGCUGGACUUCGAAGCAUUGAUACGUAGCCUACGGUGGGUGUGGUUGGUAGGGAGGGAUUUAGAGAUUUUAAUAGAGUUGUUUUCCGGCGAGGAUUGACGGAGGCCGAUGAAAGUUUUGAGAGCAAUUGAAG
rnacentral:misc_RNA from 1 species